GGAUCAGAAUGCCACGGUGAAUACGUUCCCGGGCCUUGUACACACCGCCCGUCACACCAUGGGAGUGGGUUGCAAAAGAAGUAGGUAGCUUAACCUCCGGGAGGGCGCUUACCACUUUGUGAUUCAUGACUGGGGUGAAGUCGUAACAAGGUAACCGUAGGGGAACCUGCGGUUGGAUCACCUCCUUACC
rnacentral:rRNA from 1 species